rnacentral:rRNA from 1 species
GACGAACGCUGGCGGCGUGCUUAAUACAUGCAAGUCAACUGAACUUAGGAUAGCAAUAUUUUAAGGGAGGUGGCGCACGGGUGAGUAACACGUAGGUAAUCUGCCUUUAGGUCUGACAUAACCUACCGAAAGGUAGGCUAAAAUCAGAUGAUGCAGCGGCUCGACAUCGAGACAGUUGUUAAAUCUUCGGAGCCUAAAGAUGAGCCUGCGUCUGAUUAGGUAGUUGGCGGUGUAAUGGGCCACCAAGCCUGCGAUCAGUAGCUGGUCUGAGAGGAUGAUCAGCCACACUGGAACUGAGACACGGUCCAGACUCCUACGGGAGGCAGCAGUAAGGAAUAUUGCUCAAUGGCCGAAAGGCUGAAGCAGCAAACGCCGCGUGGAGGAUGAAAUAACUUUGUAUGUAAACUACCUGUAAGAAGGG